GGUGCGGUGGCCGAGUGGUUAGGCAGUGGAUUGCAAAUCCAUGCAUGCCGGUUCGAUUCCGGCCCGCACCUCCA
rnacentral:tRNA from 2 species